UAUUAUACUGAGAAUUUAAUUAACUAAAAUAUUAUAAGGUAAAGUCUUUAAAUUUAAAGAAUUUGGCGGUAAUUUAGUCUUUCCAGAGGAACCUGUUUAUGUAAAUCGAUAAACCACGAAGAAUCUUACUUAUUAUUGUUUAAGUUUAUUAGUUUGUAUACCAUCAUUAUUAGGUAAUUUUUAGAGAAAAUUACUGAGUUUUAUAUAAUAAAAUAAAUUAGAUCAAGGUGCAGCUUAUGAAUAAGUUUAAAUGGGUUACAAUUAAAUAUAUUAAUAAUGGAGUAAAAUUUGAAAUAGUUUAGGAAGGUGGAUUUGGUUGUAAUGGUUAAUUUAAUAAGAUAAAAAGAUAUAAGCUCUAAAUUAU
rnacentral:rRNA from 1 species